CAGUCGCCGCGGGAAUACGUAGGUGGCAAGCGUUGUCCGGAAUUAUUGGGCGUAAAGGGCUCGCAGGCGGUUUCUUAAGUCUGAUGUGAAAGCCCCCGGCUCAACCGGGGAGGGUCAUUGGAAACUGGGAAACUUGAGUGCAGAAGAGGAGAGUGGAACUCCACGUGUAGCGGUGAAAUGCGUAGAGAUGUGGAGGAACACCAGUGGCGAAGGCGACUCUCUGGUCUGUAACUGACGCUGAGGAGCGAAAGCGUGGGGAGCGAACAGGAUUAGAGACCCCCGUAGUCCCUGUCUCUUAUAA
rnacentral:rRNA from 1 species